rnacentral:pre_miRNA from 1 species
CCUGGGAGGUGUGAUCCCGUGCUCCCUGGGAGGUGUGAUCCCGUGCUCCCUGGGAGGUGUGAUCCCAUGCUUCCUGGG